rnacentral:rRNA from 15 species
UGAAGAGUUUGAUCCUGGCUCAGCCUGAACGCUGGCGGCAUGGCUAAAACAUGCAAGUCGAGGGAGAAGGGGGCUUCGGCCCCUGGACACCGGCGAAAGGGCGAGUAACGCGAUCGAACGUGCCCCGAGGUAGAGGAUAGCCGUGGGAAACUGCGGGUAAUACUCUAUAAGUUCCAAGGAAGAAAGCUCCGGCGCCUUGGGAGCGGCGAUCGUCCUAUCAGGUUGUUGGUGGGGUAAAGGCCUACCAAGCCGAAGACGGGUAGCGGGUGUGAGAGCAUGGCCCGCCGCAUCGGAACUGAGACACUGUCCGGACUCCUACGGGAGGCUGCAGUAACGAAUCUUCCGCAAUGCGCGAAAGCGUGACGGAGCAAUGCCGCGUGUGGGAUGAAGCGGUUACGCCGUGUAAACCACUGUCAGGACUUAGGAAGAACUGACCGAGUCCAAAGGAAGGGCCGGCUAAUCUCGUGCCAGCAGCCGCGGUAAUACGAGAGGCCCGAGCGUUAGGCGGAAUCACUGGGCUUAAAGGGUGCGUAGGCGGAUCAGUAAGCAUUUUGUGAAAUCCCUCGGCUCAACCGAGGAAUUGCAGAGUGAACUGCUGGUCUUGAGGUAGGCAGAGGUCAUCGGAACGUACGGUGGAGCGGUGAAAUGCGUAGAUAUCGUACGGAACGCCGAAGGGGUAGCCAGGUGACUGGGCCUUACCUGACGCUGAGGCACGAAAGCGUGGGGAUCAAACAGGAUUAGAUACCCUGGUAGUCCACGCCGUAAACGAUGUCUACUAGCCGUUGGGGAACUUGAUUCUUUAGUGGCGCAGCUAACGCACUAAGUUGACCGCCUGGGGAGUACGGUCGCAAGAUUAAAACUCAAAGGAAUUGACGGGGGCCCGCACAAGCGGUGGAGCAUGUGGUUUAAUUCGAUUCAACGCGAAGAACCUUACCAGGACUUUUAUCUAUUUAAUUUUAAGAAAUUAAAAUUUAGUGAAGUAGAAAUAGGUGGUGCAUGGCUGUCGCCAGCUCGUGUCGUGAGAUGUUGGGUUAAUUCCCUUAACGAGCGCAACCCUUGUUUGGUCAGUUGUUAUGGAUUUCUGAGAAGACUGCCGAUGAGAAAUCGGAGGAAGGUAAGGAUGACGUCAAGUCAGUAUGCCCCGUAUGUCCUGGGCUACACACGUGCUACAAUGGUUAAGACAAAGAGCCGCUUACUUGUAAAAGAUGAAGAAGCCAAAGUAAGUAAAAUUAUUUUAGUAAGAGCAAAUCUCCAAACUUAAUCGAAGUUCGGAUUGUAGGCUGCAACUCGCCUACAUGAAGUUGGAAUCGCUAGUAAUCGCUGGUCAGCAGUACAGCGGUGAAUUCGUCCCUGGGCCUUGUACACACCGCCCGUCACACCAUGGAAGUUGGUCAGGCUGGAAACUAAUAUUAAAUUAGUAGUUAAAGUGGGGCGAGCGACUGGGGUGAAGUCGAAACAAGGUAGCCGUACUGGAAGGUGCGGCUGGAUCAUCUA